CCCCAGGCAAGCACACAUGAGGCACAAGACCCCCAAAAUGUUCUUACAGAACCAUACUGAAGGAUGUUUAAUUGUUUCCAUAUUUGUGAAGGAGGGAAGACUCUUGGGAUGUAGUGAAGGGAUCUACCAAGUAAAGAAUGUCAACAUGUAGGCUGUGUGAAUGUACAUUAGUGCAAACACACAUACUCAAAAGAGCUAUGAAAGCAUCAUUCCUGGGCUCUAAGUGAACUUUUCAAAGGAAACAAAUGUGAAACGAAAUAAUAUAUGGAACAGCCUGAUCCUGCAAGAGACGGAGCCUGACCUCAGUGGGAAUGAAGAGCACUCGGAGAUCAAACCAGUAAUUCCCAAAUAAGGGCACAGAUCUAUUCCUUAGACUCUUCAUCCAGCCCACACUGUUGUUUUCCUCUUCCUUUAAAAUGUUAGCAUUAUUCCUCUCCUAUCUAAUUUAGAUUUUUCUCAGUAGCCUUCUUUAGCUACUGUGUGAUGUUAAAUGCAGCAUUAUCAGUUCUCACAAUUUUGUCAGAAAUCCUGCAGUAUUUGAUAUUUUCCCUGAAAGCCCCAGCUCCUGGAGUCCUUUCUCAGCUUUCAUUUAAAAUUAAAAUGUAGUUUCUAGCCUGCACAGUUGUGUGAAAAUCUUGAAAACAUGACUCAGCUGCACCCUAAAGUCUCAAAACCCAAAUGGCAAGUAAAAAAAUCCCCUUAUUAUUAUUAAAUCUCAUAAUCUUGAAGACAGCGUCUUGAUUUUUGAGGCCUGACUCAACCUUUGACUGCUUAGGACUGACACUAUUGUAAAUGCAGUGAAGGCCAAAUCCUUCUAUCUUUACCCAGGGAAAACUCCCCCUGACUUUAGGCUCAGUCCUGCUCCUGCUGAAGACAAUGUUAGGGCUUGUCUAUACUACCCGCCGGAUCGGCAGGCAGCAAUCGAUCC